GCUGGGCAUGGCAGCUCAUGCCUGUAAUCUCAGUGACUUGGGAGGCUGAGAUGGGAGGAUUGCUUGAGCCCAGGAGUUUAGGGCUGCAGUGAUUGAGGCACUGCACUCCAGCAUGAGUGGCAGAGCAAGAUCCCAUCUCUU
ensembl:misc_RNA Metazoa_SRP Metazoan signal recognition particle RNA